UGUUUGAGGAACUGAAGAAAAUGUGAUGUGUUCAACAUGGUACAGAAAAGGUACACCAUGUGCAGAUGGUCAAGCGAAAGAAAAACUACUAUAUUUGGAUAGCCCUGACCAACUUUCAAGGCUCCUAAAUCUGAGUUUUCAGUGAACUGGACAGAAAAAAAAAAAUGAAGAAGCUACUAGCAGUGAUUCUGUGGCUUCAACUAGACCGGUUAAGUGGAGAGCUGAAAGUGGGACAAAACCCUCUGUUCCUGAGCACACAGGAGGGAAAAAACUAUACCAUCUACUGCAAUUAUUCAACCACUUCAGACAGACUGUACUGGUACCGGCAGGAUCCUGGGAAAAGUCUGGAAUCUCUGUUCGUGUUGCUGUCAAAUGGAGCAGUGAAGCAGGAGGGACGAUUAAUGGCCUCACUUGAUACCAAAGCCCGUCUCAGCACCCUCCACAUCACAGCUGCCGUGCAUGACCUCUCUGCCACCUACUUCUGUGCCGUGGACACACAGUGCUCCCCUGACGCCACCAGUCUGUACCCAAACCUGCAGCUGGUGGGCCCACUCCUGCUGCAGGAACUAUGACUGUAAGGCUUCGUUCACUGUCUGUGCAUUUCUUUCUGCAAGGAAAAUUCUGAAACGGGUGAAAAAAGAUGCUGUUUUAUUUUCUUAACUGUGGAAUAUUUUUUAAAAGGAAAAUGUAUUCAGGCUGAGGGAAGAUUCCUAAACAUGUAUUUCCUGAGAAUAUGAGGUCUCAUUCUUUACUGCCUCACGGUCAGAAUUUGUUAGUCUUCCAUUAUGGAAUAAUUUUACAUGUAGUGCAACUGUCACAAAUAAUUCCUAUGAAAUAUGGAAUCAUUAUUUG